CAAGGUAGCUCCAUUCAUACUGCUGGUUCUAUAUCUAUGGGUGAGAAGGAACGUAGGAUGGAGAAUGAAACAGGAGUCAAGCCUCCAGUGGAGGAGGUAUUUGCUAUUUGCCAUAUCAGAAAGGAUAAGAAAUGGGUUGAUAGUAGAGCUGAGCAUGCCUAUGGAGCUUUUAAGAAGAGAAAAGCAGAGCUUUUGGAAAUAUCUAUGUCUCAAAAUCAAGAGGAAGAAGGAUUGUCUUC